UGAGAAUCAGCUGACCACACGCGCUACAUAACGUAGAGCAAGUCACUAGUAAUUGCACGUAUAAUGAAAUGUCACUAAGUGUGAACUCGCUAAAGAACGUUUUUGCAAUGCUGAUCUUUUUGGAAUAUUAUAAAAAGCACUCUCACCGUUAGACUUCGAGUUAGUUGUGUAUUGUUUGUUGUGUGUUAGCUUUAGCUUAGCAUAGAACAGUGGGCUUCACUUUGUUUACACUGCUCCAUUAGGUAUAUAGAGUUCACUGCUGCCCUGGGGAUUAGCAGCAUGGAUCCAUUGGGCGCUCGCUCACAGUUUGUGUGCGUGGACACACUUCCCACCUGGGAUCAGCUCGAAGAGACUAUCGAUGGCAAGGAGGAAGGGGAGUCUUAUCAGAGGGAAGAGGCUGAAGAGCUGACUGACGUAAACUCUCCUGUUUCUCCAUUUCCAUUCAGAGAGGAUAUCAACAGGAAGAUUAUUCUCUUCAACGGUGAUGUGGCACUUUUAAACUGCACCGCUAUUGUGAAUACAAGCAACGAGACCCUUACAGACAAGAACCCAAUCUCAGACAGCAUUCACAGACACGCUGGCCCCGAGCUCAGGGAGGAACUUUUCAAACUAAAAGGAUGUCGGACGGGGGAGGCCAAAAUGACAGAGGGCUUCAACUUGGCUGCACGAUUUGUUUUACAUACAGUUGGCCCCAAAUAUAAACAAAAGUAUCGCACAGCUGCUGAGAGCUCCUUAUACAGCUGCUAUAGAAAUGUCAUGCAACUGGCCAAAGAGCAUGGCAUGUCUUCUGUGGGUCUUUGUGUGGUCAGUACAGGCAAGAGAGGAUAUCCCAUCGCAGAUGCUACUCAUAUAACCUUACGGACUGUGCGCAGGUUUCUGGAGUAUCAUGGAGAAAGCUUAGAGGCUGUGGUCUUUGCUGUGUCUGACAACGAGGAGGCAGUGUACAGGAAGUUACUGCCACUUUAUUAUCCACGCUCAAAGGAGGAGGAGAGAGCCAGUCUGCCUUUACUGCCUGCCGACAUCGGGAAUGCUGAGGGGGAACCUGUGGUGCUUGAGAGGCAGAUCCGCAUUACUGAGAAGCCUGGCAGCCUGGAAGAUGGCUCUGAGCAUGAUUCUGAAGACUCUGACCUGGUACUUGUUGGCAAUCAUGCUUUUGCAAAAAUGGAGGGAGAUGUAGACAAGCAGCGAAAACUCAUUCUUCAGGGUCAGCUCUCUGAAGCUUCCCAACAGAAACAGCACCAGAGGAACUAUAACCGCUGGCUGUGCAGAGCACGAGCAGAGGACCUCUCGGACAUAGCAGCACUAAAGGCCUUAUACCAAACAGGUGUUGACAGGUGUGGCAGAACCGUAAUGGUGGUUGUAGGCAGAAAUAUUCCUGUAACUCUCAUUGACGUGGAGAAGGCUUUGUUAUAUUUUAUCCACGUGAUGGAUCACAUCGCAGUAAAGGAAUACGUGAUGGUGUAUUUCCACACACUCACCGGUGAACAUAAUCACCUCGACACCGACUUCCUCAAGAGGCUCUAUGACAUUGUUGAUGUGAAGUUUAAAAAAAAUCUGAAGGCUUUCUACUUUGUUCAUCCAUCAUUUCGUUCCAAGGUGUCCACAUGGUUCUUCACUACCUUCAGUGUUCCUGGAGUGAAGGAGAAGGUCCAUCACAUAGAGACCCUGCAGCAGCUCUUCACUUGCAUCUUACCUGAACAGAUAGACAUCCCUCCCUUUGUUCUGGAGUAUGACACUAGGAUGAACGGCUCAUGGAGAUGAAAUUCCCGCUCACCACGCCUAUAAAGCAAACCCUCUAGGUGGAUUUAACUGGACUUUCUUUGAAUGCCCAGCAUUUGCUUGAGCUCACAGAGUAUGGGUGUGUUGCCAUAAAGAAGUCUGUCCCUCUCAUCAAUCUAGAAACGGAGACCAACUCAGUUGCCUUUCUUUGACGUUUGACAUAGUUGCUGUGCUCAAACUAUUUGCACUAGUAAUAUUUCACUGACUGACUGAUGCAUGUGAUUGUGUAACAGAAAAGCAGAAAGGUAAAUUGUUAAAUGCCUUCAGAUGUCCUGUUUCCCAGCAGCAUACGAAACCUCUCUACGUUUGUGUUUGGUGUGCACAAAUCCUUCACGACUAACACUUGCUUUCAUUCUUAUUUCACACUAUCUGGUUACUGCUAGUGGUAUCUGGUAAACUACCUUCAUGAGCUGCUUUUGUUUUGUUUUUUUUUAUUUUAAAUGUGAUUACAUAUAAAUUGCCAUGACUGGACCGUAGCCAAAUGAACUUGAAAUGAUGUUAAUUAAAGUGAUUGUUCUUUAAAUAUUUCAAUGAAAUAUUUUUAUGUUCUCUUUCUUGCACACUAACAGACAGUCAGGCUUUUAGUAUUGUCCCUUUCUACUUCAGGUUUUCUUUUUAAGCCAGCAUUUUUUUUUUUUUAUUGAUUUGAUCCUUUGUUUUGGAUUAUUAUUAAAUAUUUUAGUCCUAAUAGGUCUUACUGACUUGGGUACAAAAACACAAGUAAGCUCCCUUGCUCUAGUCUUUCUUAUGCGAAAGAAAAACAAGAAUUUCACUGACAGUGUUGACAGCAGUGUGAAUUUGAGCACCUGUGCUGAGCGAUAAAAUUUGCUUUAACAAAUUUAGGUCCUGAACAUUUUGUAGUGCCGUCCUAAAGGAGUUGUAUCGGUAUCUGUAUCAGUCACCUACGUCAGUAUCUGAGUUAAAUGUGUUGUUUUUUUUUCUUUAUUUAUUUCCUCACACAAACACAAUGAAGAUCUGGUGAGAAACAGGUGUCUGCAAGAUGCAACCCAUCGAAAAGAAAAGAGACGAGCCUGUGACUGUGGAGUUCAGAUUUCUGCACACUUUAUCAUUAGACAGAAAGGUGCAUAUACAUUAUUUGGUAAACUGUACAAGCCAAAUAAGGUUAGGUGUAUUAGCAGGUGUCUAGUGGCUCGUUCGGUCACUCGGGCAGAGUCACAGUUUCCAUUACUGGUUCCAAAGAAACACGUUCCACUGUGCAGGAAGCCCACAGCUCUGACCUUUAUUAAAACCAAUAUGGGCCUUGUUGAUCUCCUCCUCUCAAUAUCACACUGUAAUGCUGUAUCAAAAAUCAUAUCAUUCAUCCUCCUGAUAUUGUUUUAAUCUUGGUUUAUUUAUUAAUAAACAGUAGAGUAGAAAAGACUAAUGUGUUAUGACUGUAUGGGCUGGUGAACUGAGAUUCUGCUCCGUGUGUGUGCUGACUAAAAUGAAUCGAUCCUUCACAGCCUUCAAUGUGUUUGUGAGUGGGAUUAGCAGCCAUGAGAAGCUUUAGUGAACUCGGGGACACCUGGACAGAAUUAAUUCCUCUUUUUUGUGAAUCGGAGCCGGCAUCAAAAUCCUGAACAAAACAAAAUUAGCACGGAGUGGCGUGUUUCACAUCAUGUGGAAAACUUAGAACAUGUGGCCUGUAUGCUUUUACAUCAGCACUGUCCUCCAGUAACCUCUCAAAUGUGAAGUAAAGGACUGAGAUUAAAGAGAGAAAACCUGGCAACUUCUGAUCCUGCUGCAAAUACAGAUGAGACAGAAGAGUCAAUCAACAUACUGUGUUCUGUAUCUUCUGGUGAUUAGUAGCAGAGAUGCAGAGAUGAUGGUUACUGAAUCACCUGAAUGUGUAUUUAAUGUGGAAAGUUUAUUCUAUGUAUAAUAAUUCAAACAUUAUGAUUAAAAUCAGUUUUUGUGUGUGGCA